UACUACCGAAGCUACGGCAUCAGUAAUGAUGGGUAGGGGAGCUUCCCAUACGGGUUGAAGCAUGACCGUCAGGACAUGUGGACAGUAUGGGAGUGAGAAUGUUGGCAUGAGUAGCGAGAUGUGGGUGAGAAUCCCACAGGCCGUAAACCCAAGGUUUCCAGGGGAAGGUUCGUCCGCCCUGGGUUAGUCGGGACCUAAGCUGAGGCCGAAAGGCGUAGGUGAUGGACAACAGGUUGAUAUUCCUGUACUACCGAUAACCGUUUGAGAGAAGGGAUGACACAGUAGGAUAAGCUAAGCACACUGUUGGUUAUGUGUGCCCAAGCAUUGAGGCAGUCAAAGUAGGCAAAUCCGCUUUGAUAAUGCUGGGAUGUGAUGGGGAGCGAAAUUUAGUAGCGAAGUAGCUGAUUUCACACUGUCAAGAAAAGUCUCUAUCGAGGUUAAAGGUACCCGUACCGCAAACCGACACAGGUGGGUGAGGAGAGUAUCCUAAGGCCAGCGAGAGAACUGUUGUUAAGGAACUCGGCAAAAUGACCCCGUAACUUAGGGAUAAGGGGUGCCACCAUCAGGUGGCCGCAGAGAAUAGGCCCAAGCGACUGUUUACCAAAAACAUAGGUUUCUGCUAAGUCGCAAGACGAUGUAUAGGAGCUGACGCCUGCCCGGUGCUGGAAGGUUAAGGGGAUCUGUUAGAGCAAUCGAAGCAGUGAACUUAAGCCCCAGUAAACGGCGGCCGUAACUAUAACGGUCCUAAGGUAGCGAAAUUCCUUGUCGGGUAAGUUCCGACCCGCACGAAAGGCGUAACGAUUUGGGCACUGUCUCAACAACAGACUCGGUGAAAUUGUAAUUCCGGUGAAGAUGCCGGAUACCUGCGACAGGACGGAAAGACCCCAUGGAGCUUUACUGUAGCUUGACAUUGGGUCUUGGUACUACAUGUACAGGAUAGGUGGGAGGCUUUGAAACCAGGACGCCAGUUUUGGCGGAGCCAUCCUUGGGAUACCACCCUUGUAGUACUGGGACUCUAACCAUAGGCCAUGAAUCUGGUCUUGGGACACUGUCAGGUGGGCAGUUUGACUGGGGCGGUCGCCUCCCAAAAGGUAACGGAGGCGCUCAAAGGUUCUCUCAGUACGGUCGGAAAUCGUACGUAGAGUGUAAAGGCAAAAGAGAGCUUGAUUGCAAGACAUACAGGUCGAGCAAGGAUGAAAAUCGGACUUAGUGAUCCGGUGGUUCUGCGUGGAAGGGCCAUCGCUCAACGGAUAAAAGCUACCCUGGGGAUAACAGGCUUAUCUCCCCCAAGAGUCCACAUCGACGGGGAGGUUUGGCACCUCGAUGUCGGCUCAUCACAUCCUGGGGCUGUAGUAGGUCCCAAGGGUUGGGCUGUUCGCCCAUUAAAGUGGUACGCGAGCUGGGUUCAGAACGUCG
rnacentral:rRNA from 1 species